rnacentral:rRNA from 1 species
UACGUAGGGGGCAAGCGUUAUCCGGAUUCACUGGGCGUAAAGGGAGCGCAGGCGGCAUGGCAAGUCUGAUGUGAAAACCCGGGGCCCAACCCCGGGAGUGCAUUGGAAACUGCCAGGCUGGAGUGUCGGAGGGGUAAGCGGAAUUCCUAGUGUAGCGGUGAAAUGCGUAGAUAUUAGGAGGAACACCAGUGGCGAAGGCGGCUUACUGGACGGAAACUGACGUUGAGGCUCGAAAGCGUGGGGAGCAGACAGG